rnacentral:rRNA from 1 species
UACGGAGGGUGCGAGCGUUGUCCGGAAUCACUGGGCGUAAAGGGCGCGUAGGCGGCCGUGUAAGUCACUUGUGAAAUCCCGGGGCUCAACUCCGGGGCUGCAGGUGAGACUGCAUGGCUAGAGCUCGGUAGAGGCAAGUGGAAUUUCCGGUGGAGCGGUGAAAUGCGUAGAGAUCGGAAAGAACACCAACGGCGAAAGCACUCUGCUGGGCCGACACUGACACUGAGAGACGAAAGCUAGGGGAGCGAAUGGG